rfam:Schistosoma mansoni strain Puerto Rico chromosome W, complete genome
AUCAUGCUGAGGAGUCCCAUAUUAGAACGAAACGGCCGUCCAGUGAU